GAGAUGUGCACUGGUGGUUCACAGCGUUAAAAAUAUACGUCCUAAGUGAGCGCGAACCUGUAUCGCACUGUUGCAAUGCAGGUGCGGUUUGGCCAAUCUGUACCCACCUUUAGGACUCUGUGGAUAAUCUUCGAGGGAGAGUAAUUAUUGACUUUGUUGUCUAAGUGUAAUCUGUUUAUUAUGAAUGGAUUUGUGUUGUGAAUACACGUAUAUUUCAAACAGGGGUCAGUCAGUGAUAGAUUAUAUCAUCCUUUAUAACAUUUGAUGGAUAAAAUUUGGAACUUUAAUGUAGAAGAGGUUGAUCUGGCAGAUCAUUUUCCUCUGUGUAUAGAACUUCACAUGGAUAAAGAGUUAGAGAAAAUUGGUUGUGACAAUAAUUAUAAGAUUUCUUCAGAUUAUCAAGUAAUUGUUAAUGAUAUGAAUGCAUUUGGAGUAUUAUCAAUGAGAAGAUUGAUCAUAUCUUUGAUGAUAUACUGAUUUAUGAGGAGGGGAUUAAUUAUAG
rnacentral:lncRNA from 1 species